CUUUGGCACACUUCUUAAUUUUUUAAUACAAAUUAUUCCCGAAUUAUUGAAAAUCCGAAUUAAACGGUCGUUUACGAAUUUUUUUCAAGAAAAAAAAAUUAUUCACAAAUUUUUAGGCCAGUCGAAUAAUUUGCCAAUUAUUGAAAAUCUAAAUAAAAACUUAUAAUUUUUAUGUUUAAUUAUAGAUUAUUUUAUAUUUUAUACGGAAUCCGUUUUUUAAGCCGAAAUUUUCAACGAAUUUGAAAAUUAGAAAACAAAUUUUAUCUAUAUUAUACCCGUACCGAAUUU
rnacentral:lncRNA from 1 species